CCUACGGGAGACAGCAGUGAGGAAUAUUGGUCAAUGGGCGAGAGCCUGAACCAGCCAAGUCGCGUGAGGGAGUACUGCCCUAUGGGUUGUAAACCUCUUUUGUCGGGGAGCAAAAGCCGGACGUGUCCGGCUGUGAGAGUACCCGAAGAAAAAGCAUCGGCUAACUCCGUGCCAGCAGCCGCGGUAAUACGGAGGAUGCGAGCGUUAUCCGGAUUUAUUGGGUUUAAAGGGUGCGCAGGCGGAUUUUUAAGUCAGCUGUAAAAUCGUGGGGCUCAACCCCAUCCAGCCGUUGAAACUGGGGAUCUAGAGUGUGCGAGAGGUAUGCGGAAUGCGUGGUGUAGCGGUGAAAUGCAUAGAUAUCACGCAGAACCCCGAUUGCGAAGGCAGCAUACCGGUGCACAACUGACGCUCAGGCACGAAAGCGUGGGUAUCGAACAGGAUUAGAUACCCCAGUAGUC
rnacentral:rRNA from 1 species